UACGUAGGGUGCGAGCGUUGCCCGGAUUUAUUGGGCGUAAAGGGCGCGUAGGCGGUCACGCACGUCCGUUGUGAAAUCGCUCGGCUCAACUGGGCGGGGUCAGCGGAUACGGUGUGACUGGAGCAAGCUAGGGGGCAAUGGAAUUCCCGGUGUAGUGGUGGAAUGCGUAGAUAUCGGGAGGAACACCAGUGGCGAAGGCGGUUGCCUGGAGCUUUGCUGACACUGAUGCGCGAGAGCGUGGGGAGCGAUCCGG
rnacentral:rRNA from 1 species